UACGGAAGGCAGCAGUGGGGAAUAUUGCACAAUGGGCGAAAGCCUGAUGCAGCUAUGCCGCGUGUAUGAAGAAGGCCUUAGGGUUGUAAAGUACUUUCAUCGGGGAGGAAAAAACAAAACUAAUAAUUUUAUUUCUUGACGUUACCCGAAAAAGAAGCACCGGCUAACUCCGUGCCAGCAACCGCGGUAAUACGGAGGGUGCUAGCGUUAAUCAGAAUUACUGGGCGUAAAGAGCACGUAGGUGGUUUUUUAAAGUCAGAUGUGAAAUCCCUGGGCUUAACCUAGGAACUGCAUUUUGAAACUGAAAUACUAGAGUAUCGUAGAGGGAGGUAGAAUUCUAGGUGUAGCGGUGAAAUGCGUAGAUAUCUGGAGGAAUACCUGUGGCGAAAGCGGCCUCCUAAACGAAUACUGACACUGAGGUGCGAAAGCGUGGGGAGCAAACAGGGAUUAGGAUACC
rnacentral:rRNA from 1 species